rnacentral:lncRNA from 1 species
AUGGUGUUACAACCCGCAAGUCGACGUCAACAGUGCUCAACGACGAAGACGGCGGUCAAGCGGCUAGGGUUCCAAUCAAGUUCCGACAAGUUUCCGGUGUAGCUGCAUACUUAGAUGAUGGCAAAGGGCUAUCACAUGUGGUAGCAAAUAGUAAGGGUGUAAAUAAACCAAGAGCUUGAUGUGAGAGCCCUUUUAUUCGUGUUGCAAUGCAAGGGCAUUUCUCCACUACUAAAUACCUCACCGAACGUGUAUUGAAACUGAUGAUGGCACUACUCCUUUGCUGUUAGUUGUAGCUGCAAGCUCGCUCCU